rnacentral:tmRNA from 1 species
GGGGUUGACCGGUUUUGACAGCGGGUAGAAGUGGUUUGUAAGCAUGCAGUGCGUCGUUGUCCGGCACUUAAAUCUCGGAUGAUAACAAUUAACUGGCGAAAAUACUUACGCUCUCGCUGCUUAAUCGAAGUAUAGUAGAUUUUAUAGCUUUAUCCUUACACUAGGUGUUUGGACGAGAUAUCACCCGGAAGCUGUGGCUUCGAAGCAAUCCGAAACGGUGGUACAGCAAUAUCGGAGAUAGUUUGAAGUAAGUCUCGGACUUCAAAUGAAAUUAAGGGAAUAAGCUUAACGUAGGUGGCUUCGGUCUUGCGGUAAGUCGAAAAUAAAGGCGAAGAUAAGCAUGUAGAAAGCAGAUUAAUUCCUCGUUUGGACGAGGGUUCGAAUCCCUCCAGCUCCACAG